CAAUAGCGUAUAUUAAAGUUGUUGCAGUUAAAAAGCUCGUAGUUGAAUUUCUGUACAGUCCCAAUUUUGGCUUCGGUCAGGUUGUGGAUUGUGCAUCCGCUUGCAAAUCUAGUUCGGCAUUCACUUGUUGGCUAGGGGAGUAAGCUUUUUACUUUGAAAAAAUUAGAGUGUUUCAAGCAGGCAAUGGCUCGAAUACAUUAGCAUGGAAUAAUGGAAUAGGACUUUUGUCCAUUUGAUUGGUUAUUGGACUUAGGUAAUGAUUAAAAGGGACAGUUGGGGGCAUUAGUAUUUAAUUGUCAGAGGUGAAAUUCUUGGAUUUAUUAAAGACUAACUUAUGCGAAAGCAUUUGCCAAGGAUGUUUUCAUUAA
rnacentral:rRNA from 1 species